rnacentral:rRNA from 1 species
GAUGAACGCUGGCGGCGUGCCUAAUACAUGCAAGUCGAGCGAAUGGAUUAAGAGCUUGCUCUUAUGAAGUUAGCGGCGGACGGGUGAGUAACACGUGGGUAACCUGCCCAUAAGACUGGGAUAACUCCGGGAAACCGGGGCUAAUACCGGAUAACAUUUUGAACCGCAUGGUUCGAAAUUGAAAGGCGGCUUCGGCUGUCACUUAUGGAUGGACCCGCGUCGCAUUAGCUAGUUGGUGAGGUAACGGCUCACCAAGGCAACGAUGCGUAGCCGACGUGAGAGGGUGAUCGGCCACACUGAGACUGAGACACGGCCCAGACUCCUACGGGAGGCAGCAGUAGGGAAUCUUCCGCAAUGGACGAAAGUCUGACGGAGCAACGCCGCGUGAGUGAUGAAGGCUUUCGGGUCGUAAAACUCUGUUGUUAGGGAAGAACAAGUGCUAGUUGAUAAGCUGGCACCUUGACGGUACCUAACCAGAAAGCCACGGCUAACUACGUGCCAGCCGCCGCAGUAA